rnacentral:rRNA from 1 species
UACAGAGGUCCCAAGCGUUGUUCGGAUUCACUGGGCGUAAAGGGUGCGCAGGUGGUCGGGUAAGUCUGAUGUGAAAUCCCGCAGCUUAACUGCGGAAUGGCAUUGGAUACUAUUCGGCUAGAGGGUUGGAGGGGGGACUGGAAUUCUCGGUGUAGCAGUGAAAUGCGUAGAUAUACGGAGGAACACCAGAGGCGAAGGCGGAUCGCUGGGCCAACACUGACGCUGAGACGCGAAAGCUAGGGGAGCAAACGGG